GCGAGAGUAGCUCAGUUGGUAGGGCUCCACGUUGCCAACGUGGUUGUGGCGGGUUCGAGUCCCGUCUCUCGCUCAA
rnacentral:tRNA from 1 species